GAUGAACGCUGGCGGCGUGCCUAAUACAUGCAAGUCGAGCGAACAGACGAGGAGCUUGCUCCUUCGACGUUAGCGGCGGACGGGUGAGUAACACGUAGGUAACCUACCUAUAAGACUGGGAUAACUUCGGGAAACCGGAGCUAAUACCGGAUAAUAUUUCGAACCGCAUGGUUCGAUAGUGAAAGAUGGCUUUGCUAUCACUUAUAGAUGGACCUGCGCCGUAUUAGCUAGUUGGUAAGGUAACGGCUUACCAAGGCAACGAUACGUAGCCGACCUGAGAGGGUGAUCGGCCACACUGGAACUGAGACACGGUCCAGACUCCUACGGGAGGCAGCAAUAGGGAAUCUUCCGCAAUGGGCGAAAGCCUGACGGAGCAACGCCGCGUGAGUGAUGAAGGUCUUCGGAUCGUAAAACUCUGUUAUUAGGGAAGAACAAACGUGUAAGUAACUGUGCACGUCUUGACGGUACCUAAUCAGAAAGCCACGGCUAACUACGUG
rnacentral:rRNA from 1 species